ensembl:lncRNA
GAGGGGGGGGGGGGGGGGGGGGCAGCCACCCUUAUAACUGGCUUUCUUCAUGGUUCUCUAAAAAUUAAGGCUUUCCUUGCGAGACGAGAAUCUUCACCAUCUGAAUCAUGACGCUUUUGUCCCUUUGGAUUUGGAUGUGGGUUGGAUGCGAACCAUCAUCUGGGCAGCUCCUGAAUGUUUAAAGGAACAACACCAGACUCUUGGGUCCCUCAGAAUGAAAAGCAUCCAUUCGUUCAAUUGGCAAAUUCCCAGUACAACAGCAGGUAUGCAACAACAUUUCGGCAACACAACGAGGCAGUGUAGUUGGUUCCCUAGACCACCAUAGACCACUGGAGUUCCACUGUACCCUGCAAGUGUAUGUUGCUGUCUCAAAUUUAUCCUAUUACCC